rnacentral:rRNA from 1 species
CACGUAGGUGGCGAGCGUUGUCCGGAUUUACUGGGCGUAAAGAGCGCGCAGGCGGUCGUGCAAGUCGCGUGUGAAAGCCCCCGGCUCAACUGGGGAGGGUCACGCGAUACUGCUCGACUCGAAGGCAGGAGAGGGAAGUGGAAUUCCCGGUGUAGUGGUGAAAUGCGUAGAUAUCGGGAGGAACACCAGUGGCGAAGGCGACUUCCUGGCCUGUUCUUGACGCUGAGGCGCGAAAGCUAGGGUAGCAAACGGG